AAAGAAGUAGGUGUGCCCUAAGUGACUGUUCCAUUACUGCGAAGAAGCAAUGUUUGCCUUCCUCAGUAUUUGUCAAACUCGCUGCUGCCGAUCCUGUGGGGCAGGCAGAGAAUGCCCUGCUGGCGAUCGGAAAGCAGAAGUAUCACACACUAGCCCACUGCGUCACUGGACCACCCUUACAGAUGUUAUUAAACACUCACGCUUCCAGAACAUGUUUUCUAGUGUGUAACAUUACCCUUCAUAAAAAAUGAUAUUUUAAAAUGAGAUAGGAUUGGCAACAGAACAACGGGUAGUUAAUGGAAGGAGAAUUAUAAAGCCGUGCUCUGUCGGAUGGAGGAGAGAAAAUAGAAUUUUUCUGAGUUUUCUCUGAGUCACAGGCCAUGGUCCAUAGCCUUUAAAGAGGUGAGCAAUGCUCAGAGCCGGGGAUU
rnacentral:lncRNA from 1 species